UCACUCCCUGCUGAAGGCUCGGGGCAGGUGGCAAGGACAGGGGGGGCUCCCUGGGACGUGGGAGCAGCUUAGGGGGAACAGGACAGCCCAGCAGGGUCUCCGGGACACAAUGUCCCAUCAGCCCCAUUGGCCGGGGUGUAAAUUUAGCACACAGCCUUUCCUGGCCGGGGGUGGGGGCAAGGCCGGGGGUCCUCUCUCCUUCUCCAAACAUGUCCCUUCCUUCUCAGCCUCCAGAGACAGCUGUGUCUAUACUUGGUAUGGCCCCCAAGACUGGGAGGGUCCUUCCCCCCCUCGCCUUGCUCCUUGGCUACCCAGUAGGCUCUGGGGCAAGAUCAGAUGUCACUAUAAUUGGGGGCAGGAGGGCUCUGGCUGGUGACAUUGCCAGCAGCCAGCCUUGCUCCUCGGGGCUCCCCUUCUCCGCAGACUUAGCGCACAGAAGCGAAGCCCACCGCCACCAUGUCUGACGAGGAAGUUGAACAGGGCGAAG